CCUUCCUCUGGCUUUGGUUUUGUCUCUGGACACCACCUCUUAAUCAUUCCCCUCUGUUUCAUUCGUUGAAGUCAGCUCGCAGGCAAAUGUCACUGAGGCUCCAGGGACAUCCCAUCCAACAGCCCCAGUCUGGUGUCCAAGGGUACUUGUCCAUAUUCAUUCCACUGCCUUAAAUCUGCCUUAUUACUCUCAAAUCUUGGGUCAGUGUCUACAGCACUUUAAUCUCCUCAAAAGUGGAGACUGUGCACAUUCUGCAUUUGUUUUUCC
rnacentral:lncRNA from 1 species